rnacentral:ncRNA from 1 species
AAAACGAGGGGUGCUUGUGCUAUUGCCAGGCUGAGAUUAUACCCAUAGAACCUGAUACGGACAAUGCCGACGCAGGGAAAGUGUUAU